AUUGAACUAGAACUAACAAAUAAUAACCAAUACAACUAGAUGCUAGACUUGAACUAGAACUAAAUGAGAAAUAGGUAGUUAAUAUCCCAUGUUCUGAUCCAACCCAAGCCUAUCUAGUCCUUUUUCCUAUUUUAGAAGGCCAAAUGUAUUAAAUAAGUGUAAGGCUCCAUUUAUUAAGCUGAAAAACCUCAAUUUAAGGCCAACAAUGCUAGCGUGUCAAAGAUUCCAAGGAUAACCAACAUAAAAUUAGCAAUUAAGCCGACCUAAUCCCAAUAAAAAACUUUCCAAAAUAGUCCUACAAUCAUUUGUGUCUCAAAAGGGUAUUAUCCUAAAGUAACCUACCUUAAAAAGAGAGGUAGGCCAAC
rnacentral:lncRNA from 1 species